rnacentral:lncRNA from 1 species
UUGGAUAUAUCAAUGAUCCCAUGGCAACUUCAAGAACAUGGCGGGAUGCAGAAACAGUGGUUAUGGAUGUUGGACUCUGGGGCUCAGAAGGCAAUUGACAGAAAUUAUGAAAGCAGGCUUGUGAGGCCUCUCUAGUGCAAGGUGAACGCAUCUCCUUCUCCCCUUCCUUUUCUGUCCACACCAGAUUUAUUGAUCGUGUUUUUCUCCCUCUAUUUUCUUCACAUUUGAUUUUGUCAAAUCAAACAAAUCAUUGAGCAUUUUCUAUUUGUAUAGGUUGAAAACGUCCGAUGGUGGGUUUCCUGUUCGGUGGGGCAGUCCACCCUGUCUUUCGUUAUGCUCAAAGUUAGCUUUCUUUUUCCUUAUUACCAAUGCGAAACCCAACUUGGUCUUCGACACUAUCUUCUGGCUUGGAAUUUUAUCGACUUUUCAAAUACGUAAAAGCUGUAAUAUAGGACCUUUUGCCUGCUCUGUGAUUUAGUAAGCCGUAUCAAAUAAGUUGAUCAAUUGGGGUAAAUUAAAAAGAAACUUAUCUACUACUACUGCAACAACAACAAAAAACCCUCAAAUGUCCGAUCGAUGCCCUCAUGUCUUGCUCCUUU